rnacentral:rRNA from 1 species
UACGAAGGGGGCUAGCGUUGCUCGGAGUCACUGGGCGUAAAGCGCACGUAGGCGGCUUUUUAAGUCAGGGGUGAAAUCCUGGAGCUCAACUCCAGAACUGCCUUUGAUACUGAGAAGCUUGAGUCCGGGAGAGGUGAGUGGAACUGCGAGUGUAGAGGUGAAAUUCGUAGAUAUUCGCAAGAACACCAGUGGCGAAGGCGGCUCACUGGCCCGGUACUGACGCUGAGGUGCGAAAGCGUGGGGAGCAACAGGG